UAUUUUAAAGGUUCUUUACAUUUUGCAACUUCUGGUUUUUAAAGCCGACAAUGGAGUUUCGACUGGGUUACGAGAGAGAACUAAUCACGGCUAAUCAAUUGUCGUUUCGCUUCCGCUGAAUUUCUUCUCACAGGCAAUGGGAAACAGAAUCGUUACGUCAGUGAAUCUUCAGAUAUAAAUACGUGGUGAGUCUUGAUCCUGUAAACUUAGAACUUUUUUGAGCAGAAUGGUAAACUCCUCUCUCCUCCUUGCUGAAUUGAAACCGGUCGCUGUAGCACCACCAUAGAAGUUUGUCUUCUCAUUUUCUGGGAGGCCAAGAAUGUAAAAAAAGAGGCAGUGAGCUGAUGGGCGUUGAUAUACUCCUCCUUGAUGCUAAGGUAGUCCCGACGAUAUUAAUAUCAAACCUUUGAUUUUUCCUUUAAGAUCUUUGACAGUAUCAAACAUUUGAUCUACAUAUUUUUUAAGUCGGCCCUUGCACCGUCAGUGUCCACCGUUUGAAUACUUUACAUUCUUUCAAUUCUGCAUUGUUUUCAUGUUUGGGCACUAUUUUCUUCUUAAAUGUUAACCUCUCCUCUCAAUUGGAGGAACUGCUCAGCCUCAGGUUACACUUAACAACUUCUCUGUAUAAAUUACUUACACAUUUAGUGCUUCUCUUACCAAUUUCCACCACUUAAAAGCACAUGCAAUCGAGUUUCUCUGCGCAGGCAAGGUCACCAAUAAUAAGACCAAUGGCUGGGGCUAUAUCUCUUUCUAAGUGUUCAAAGAAGCUCCAGCGAAGGAUCUCAUCGUUCACAUUCAUCAGUUGUUAUGAUAGCAACGCUGUCGGCAUCCUCAGGUAUUGGGUGGAUCGGAGCUUAUUGCGGCAGAUGAAAGUGAUGAAGCUGUGUUUGUUGGCUUCUGUGGGAAGAUGACAAAAUUAACUAAUAUCAGAACACUUAAUCUGGGCAUCUUCUGGCUGCAAGUUUUGAAAACCUUGAAGACAGUCAGCUCCCUCUGUACAUUGCUGACCUUGUGGGCAAGAGUUACAUGUUCCAGCUUAGUUUGCCCCACUUCAACUUUACUUCCACACAUCAGACGUUCACAAUCUCGAGUUUUUUCAACUAGCGUCAGCGUCUACCAAUUUCAGGUUUACUUGUGGGAAAGUAAGCUACUCACUAUACACACUUCAACCUUCUUUCCCACAUAUGGAGAUGCCAAUAUGUUUGUUUGCGAUUACAGAACGGCACUGGUGGCCUUGGUGAUAAUAUGACACUUUUAUAUCUUCCUCUGCUGUUAAACUAUUUUUUACAACUAUAAAACAAUCCUUUUUUUGAUCAAGCAUAUCAAUGAACCUUUCUGUU